AGGCAAUUAUGAUGGUCAAGAUGUUGCUGUGAAGGUAUUGAAUUGGGGGGAGGAUGGCAUUGCCACUGAUGCUGAAAUUGCUGCUGUUCGGUCAUCAUUUCGGCAAGAGGUUGGUGUUUGGCAUAAACUUGACCAUGCAAAUGUUACAAAGUUUAUUGGAGCUUCAAUGGGAACUUCAAAUCUUAAAAUUCCUCCCAAAAAUCCUAUGAAUGGAAGUUAUGAUUCUCAUCCUUCCACAGCGUGCUGCGUUGUUCUCGAGUACCUUCCGGGUGGGACGUUAAAGAAAUUUUUAAUCAGAAAUAGGAGAAAGAAACUUGCCUUUAAGGUUGUGAUUCAACUUGCUUUGGACCUUUCCAGAGGUUUGAGCUAUCUUCAUUAUAAAAAGAUUGUACAUCGGGAUGUUAAGACAGAAAAUAUGUUGUUAGA
rnacentral:misc_RNA from 1 species